rnacentral:rRNA from 1 species
AGAGUUUGAUCCUGGCUCAGGAUGAACGCUAGCGACAGGCUUAACACAUGCAAGUCGAGGGGCAGCGGGGGUAGCAAUACCCGCCGGCGACCGGCGCACGGGUGAGUAACGCGUAUGCAACUUACCUAUCAGAGGGGGAUAACCCGGCGAAAGUCGGACUAAUACCGCAUGAAGCAGGGAUCCCGCAUGGGAAUAUUUGCUAAAGAUUCAUCGCUGAUAGAUAGGCAUGCGUUCCAUUAGGCAGUUGGCGGGGUAACGGCCCACCAAACCGACGAUGGAUAGGGGUUCUGAGAGGAAGGUCCCCCACAUUGGUACUGAGACACGGACCAAACUCCUACGGGAGGCAGCAGUGAGGAAUAUUGGUCAAUGGCCGAGAGGCUGAACCAGCCAAGUCGCGUGAGGGAUGAAGGUUCUAUGGAUCGUAAACCUCUUUUAUAAGGGAAUAAAGUGCGGGACGUGUCCUAUUUUGUAUGUACCUUAUGAAUAAGGAUCGGCUAACUCCGUGCCAGCAGCCGCGGUAAUACGGAGGAUCCGAGCGUUAUCCGGAUUUAUUGGGUUUAAAGGGUGCGUAGGCGGCCUUUUAAGUCAGCGGUGAAAGUCUGUGGCUCAACCAUAGAAUUGCCGUUGAAACUGGGGGGCUUGAGUAUGUUUGAGGCAGGCGGAAUGCGUGGUGUAGCGGUGAAAUGCAUAGAUAUCACGCAGAACCCCGAUUGCGAAGGCAGCCUGCCAAGCCAUGACUGACGCUGAUGCACGAAAGCGUGGGGAUCAAACAGGAUUAGAUACCCUGGUAGUCCACGCAGUAAACGAUGAUCACUAGCUGUUUGCGAUACACUGUAAGCGGCACAGCGAAAGCGUUAAGUGAUCCACCUGGGGAGUACGCCGGCAACGGUGAAACUCAAAGGAAUUGACGGGGGCCCGCACAAGCGGAGGAACAUGUG